CCUACGGGCGGCUGCAGUGGGGAAUAUUGGGCAAUGGGCGCAAGCCUGACCCAGCAACGCCGCGUGAAGGAAGAAGGCUUUCGGGUUGUAAACUUCUUUUCUCAGGGACGAAGCAAGUGACGGUACCUGAGGAAUAAGCCACGGCUAACUACGUGCCAGCAGCCGCGGUAAUACGUAGGUGGCAAGCGUUAUCCGGAUUUACUGGGUGUAAAGGGCGUGUAGGCGGGAAAGCAAGUCAGAUGUGAAAACCAUGGGCUCAACCUGUGGCCUGCAUUUGAAACUGUUUUUCUUGAGUACUGGAGAGGCAGACGGAAUUCCUAGUGUAGCGGUGAAAUGCGUAGAUAUUAGGAGGAACACCAGUGGCGAAGGCGGCUAUCUGGCCAUUUACUGACGCUGAGGCUCGAAAGCAUGGGGAUCAAACAGGAUUAGAUACCCCUGUAGUC
rnacentral:rRNA from 1 species